GCUUGCUCUGUCUGAUCAGUGGCGAACGGGUGAGUAACACGUGAGUAACCUGCCCCCGACUCUGGAAUAACCGUGGGAAACGACGGCUAAUACCGGAUAUGAGACGCACGGGCAUCUGUGUGUCUGGAAAGAUUUAUCGGUCAGGGAUGGACUCGCGGCCUAUCAGCUUGUUGGUGGGGUAAUGGCCUACCAAGGCGACGACGGGUAGCCGGCCUGAGAGGGCGACCGGCCACACUGGGACUGAGAUACGGCCCAGACUCCUACGGGAGGCAGCAGUGGGGAAUAUUGCACAAUGGGCGCAAGCCUGAUGCAGCGACGCCGCGUGAGGGAUGAAGGCCUUCGGGUUGUAAACCUCUUUCAGCAGGGAAGAAGCGAAAGUGACGGUACCUGCAGAAGAAGCGCCGGCUAACUACGUGCCAGCAGCCGCGGUAAUACGUAGGGCGCAAGCGUUGUCCGGAAUUAUUGGGCGUAAAGAGCUCGUAGGCGGUUUGUCGCGUCUGCUGUGAAAACCUGAGGCUCAACCUCGGGCUUGCAGUGGGUACGGGCAGACUAGAGUGCGGUAGGGGUGACUGGAAUUCCUGGUGUAGCGGUGGAAUGCGCAGAUAUCAGGAGGAACACCGAUGGCGAAGGCAGGUCACUGGGCCGCAACUGACGCUGAGGAGCGAAAGCAUGGGGAGCGAACAGGAUUAGAUACCCUGGUAGUCCAUGCCGUAAACGUUGGGCACUAGGUGUGGGGCUCAUUCCACGAGUUCCGUGCCGCAGCAAACGCAUUAAGUGCCCCGCCUGGGGAGUACGGCCGCAAGGCUAAAACUCAAAGAAAUUGACGGGGGCCCGCACAAGCGGCGGAGCAUGCGGAUUAAUUCGAUGCAACGCGAAGAACCUUACCAAGGCUUGACAUACACCGGAAAAGUGCAGAGAUGUGCUCCCCGCAAGGUCGGUGUACAGGUGGGGCAUGGUUGUCGUCAGCUCCUGUCGUGAGAUGUUGGGUUAAGUCC
rnacentral:rRNA from 1 species